UGAUGUCAUUUACCUGCAAAAAUGUUGUUUAUGGUGCUUGUGCUUCUUAAUUCUAUAUGGAUUGUAGCUUCACUACUUCUUGUGGAUGAAUGCAUGGAAUAUUAAAAUGUCUUCUUACUGGGUUCUAAGUAAUUGUGGGCUUGUGGCAAUGGGAUACAUGUCUUUCCCCCUUUCUGUCGAAGGUUCAUCAUAGGGCCUUGAUUCUUGAAAUGCAGCUGAUAAGUUAAUUUUCCUAAGGAGAUGAAGGGUGGGCCCGACAUAGAACUCCAAGCAAUCUGACAAGCAUACACAGUCACACAAGAGAUUGCAGAUCUAUAGGAGAUUUCUAAGACCUCUAGGGUCUAUUGUCUUCCCCUUAUUUAUGCUUAUUUUCUUAAAAGAAUAAGAAAAGUUGAGAAAAGUUCAAAAAAAUGGUUCAGAAAAAAACAAGGAAAGUUAAGAAGAAGAGUUAAAGAAAGUUAAGUAAAGUUCAGAUGAAAAUAAGAGAAGUUCAAAAAAGUUCAAAAGUUCAUAAAAUAUAAGAGAAGUUCAGAAAAAAAAAGAUAAGAUAAGGUAGUUAGGGUAAAAUAAGAUGAAGAAAACAGACCUUAGUGUGGUUUCUUUUUAAAUAUAGUAGGAUUUAGGGUAUUAAGUAUUAAUAGAUACAUGGUGAUCGAAAUGAAGGAUCUGAUGAUUUAUGAGCCGGAAUAUCCUAUUCAACAAAAUAAAAAAUGAGCCAGAAAAUAUGUUGUGGGUUAUGAGAUCAACCAUCAAAUUACUGCUCCGUUUCUAAAUACAUGGAACUUUGAAGAUUUUGCACUCUUCAAAUACUAACUUUGACCGUAUUUCAAACUUUUAUAUAAAUACAAAUGCUAUCAUAUAACAUAUUACUCCCUUUGUAUUUUUUAUUUUACUCACUUGAAAUCUUGACACUAUUCAUAAUUAUAGAGAAUCUUCUAAUAUUUUCUCAAUAUAUAAGAAAAAAUUUAGUCAUGUGGGGUCUUGUUUGAUUCGUCUUAGAUAGUACUUUAUUAAUAUUUAAUCGUUGUAAUUUUUAGUAAUAUGCAAUAAGUCCAAGAAGUGCAUUGACAAACGCGCAAAAAAAGUUGGUAAAGUAUUGAGCUACAGAGGGAGUAUUGUAUUAGUCUCAAAAUGUAUUUUCAAAAUAUCAAUUUUUUGUCUGUUUUACUAGUCCAUAAUUAAAAGAUAUCAAUAGCCAAAAUAGUGCUUUGGCUUGUGUGAAGUCAACAUGUUGCAUGUAUAUUGGAAAUGGAGAAAGUAUAUGAUAUGAAAUUGAACCAAAUUGUGAUGCACAAAGCUAGUGGGUGCAAGAAAUAAACCAUAUUUAUUCACACAAAGUAAAGAAUGAUGGAAGAUUUAUAGCCAAAACUAUUAUUCAGAAGGAGAGGCUUGCUAUAUUUGAACACUAUGAACUCCAUUUCUUAUUUAACCAAACAAAAAAAACACAAAAACAAGAGUUUCUCAAAGACCAAGGAGACGAAUGUUUAUUUGAUAAUAUCAUCCGAAGCUAAUUAAGACUCUAAGCUACUCCUUUUCUGUAGGGAAGCAUUACAUAACAUAAGUAAAUCCUAAUGAACUUUUGAUCUUGGCUAUCGGUUACAUAUUUGAAGGCUAGGAUUAUUUUACUACAAGCUUAAGGAAGGUAAUUAUACAAAAAAUUGAACGUUUGUUGUCCAGGGCCUAGUGCAUGACCAUGGGCCUCGCUCCCCCCAGCCUAGGAAGUUCACCAGAAUAUCCUCCAUAACGGCCUAAAUUUGCUGGUGAAGUAGAGCUGGAAGAAUCACAUGACCAUGUGUUGCUCUGUUGAGCACAGUUUAACUUUAAUUGUGCAUGACUUGUUUGUUUCUAACCCAUUUUGUGUGCAUGACGCCAUGACCACUUGUCGGGUAGCCCUUGAGCUCUAUUUUCAUCUCCAAGUGAUUCUGUCUCCAACGGAGUGAUAGGAAAAAACCGUUAUGACACUCUUAAGUUGGCUCAUGCGCUGAAGAUCAACUAUUUGUACACCUUUCGACUCUAAGCUUCCCAAAAAUUUUUGUUUAAACCUUCUAGCAACAUUUUAAGCCUUUGCCACCAAUUUACACAACAAAGAGCCCAAAUAAAGUUCAAACCCAAGUAAUAAGCUACUCAUUAGAAAUGAAGUCACCCAAUAAGCAAGUUUUUCAUUCAUGUUACCAUCAAGAGAGCGGGGUUAAGAGCACCUCCAAUUUCAAAUCUGGACUUGAACCGAUGCUCCCACAUCACUAAGAAGCAGGAAGCUGUUAUGAAUUGACAUAGCUUGGACACCAUUAAUGAUAAAGAUUAAGGAAGAAAUAGAAGAUUUGAUUCAUAAACUGAAAUUACAGCAAUAUAAAGGAUAAUUACAAGCUUUAGAGAGGCUUGUUCUCUCCCAUUGAACUCUUAAAAGCUCACCUAAUUUCUUAUCAAUAUUCAACAUAAUUUUUUUUCUCUCUAGUUAACCCUAUAUAUAGAGAAUUUUCUUUAGCAUGCCUAUCUAGCUUAUUCCCCAAGCUAACUAAUGAAGAUAAUAUCUAAUUACCUUUCCAAAAUCAUAGCAUUACCGGCCCCACAAAUUUCCACCUUUAUGGGUAGUAGGUGGCACUCAAUUUUCAGCCUCGGUAAUGGUGAUCAGUGCCAUCCUUGAUGCCUGGCUUCCAUUGCCUUUGAAGCUCCUCAGUAGUGAAACCUUAUAUCUCCCAGAAAGCACAUCUAAAAAACGCUAUAUGGAAAUGUCAUGAGGUGGAGGUAAGGUUUGUAUGAAAUUGGUUUGGCCUGAUUUGGGAUGGUAAGGAUGUGGGUCAAAAAUAAUUGAAAUUUGGCUUAAGGUUUGGUUGUAGUGCAUGGUGUCAAAACAAGCCCGCAUCGUAUCGUAUGGCCCAUAUCGUAGAGGUUUUCAAAUGCAUCGAACCGUUAUUACCUGCAUCGUAAAGGUGUAAAAAAACCGCAUUUUAGGCGGGUUUCAGGGAUAUUUCAAGUUUUAAGCCAAUAAUUAGCGAUACGACAACCGCAUCAUCUUCAUUUUCGCAUCACCGUGAUCGUUACCGCAACUGUGAUCGAAACCGUAUUUUCAAACUAUGUUGUAGUGAUGAAAAGAUAUGUUGGGUGGUUUGAUUGUGCAGGGUAAAGAUGAAUUUUGGAGGUAAAAUAAUGGGUGGAACGAGUAGUAGAUAGGCUGGGUGGAAUAUUGAGGUGUGAGAUGGAAUAACUGGGUUUUAAAACUGAGAUGAGAAAAGUGGGUUUUGAAAUAGGAGAUGUAUUGGGUAAGAACGUGGGUUGGGUAGAAAAUUGGGUUUAGGGAGACAAUACGCAAUCUUGGGCCCAAUCAUAUUUCCUUGCGCUUGGAAAAUAGAAAGGGGUAGAUUUAACAGUGGAAAUGGGAUAAAAAUGAUGUUGGGUUGUAGAAUGGAUUAAGGGGUAUUGUGGGAGUUGGCCGUGCUUCAAUGAGCCAAAGUAAAAAUCAUUUAACGAGUCAGCAUUGGACUUAUUAGGGUAAAAGGAGUUACUGAGAUGCAAUGUAACGAUUCCUCUGCCAUGAAUUUCUUCCCAAGUAGGGAACGCAAUGGGGUGGGUCAAGUAGGAGACCUGCCCCAUCCCCGCCAAACCUAGACUCAUCCCCGCCCCACUUUGGCGGGAUGGGGAUUAAAAUCGUACCCGCAAUGGGUGGUGGAGCGGGUGUGGAUUUUAUGUUAUACCCGCCCCAUCCCCGCCUGCCUCAUCCCACCCCCGCCCGCUCCGCAUGUUUAUUAUUAAAAUUCUAUUUAUAUACUUAUAUUAUUGAUAAUUUUAUCUUGCAAAAUAUAUAUAUGUGGGUAUAACGCGGGUACGAAGCGGGUGUGGGUGCCCAUGCGGGUGGUGGUGCGGGUAUGAAGUACGAAGCAGGUGCAGGUACCCAUGCGGGUGGUGGGGCGUGGAUGGAUGUAAAUACGUACUUGGUGGAGCGGGGAUAAGUCUGGAACUUUCCCCCGCAACGGGUGGUGGGAUGGGGAUGGGUAUGGGGAUAUUAUGCGGGUGCGGGUGUGGAGGUACCAUCCUCUGCACUCGCCCCGCCCAAUUGUCAUCCCUAACCCAGGAAUAGGGGAAUUUUCUAGAGUCACCUUCUUCCACAAGGCAAAAGGCAAAAGAAGUAAUUCUUCUCCCCUGCUGGUAGUAUCCAAUGGCAGCUGCCUUCAUUCCAACCUCCGACCUUAGUUUUAAAAAGCGCGCCCAAGACGUCUAGGCGCAAGGCGAGUGAAGGUGUUGAGAUAAGCGCAUCUGCGAGGCGCAAAACGAGAUGUGCACGGAGGCGCAUCAGGUGCACACUUUUCGCCUCAAGGCGCGCGUGUGGGACACGUCACGUUUUUCAGUUUAAAAGCUUAUUUCCUGUCUCGACAUUACCUUGGCCUAGACCCUAGAACUCGAAACUUCUCCCUGCCUCUAGUUCGCUGCUUGCUUUUCCUCUUCGCCGUGGUUUGAUGUCAUCGCUGGUUACUGCCCUUGCCUCUAAGUUUCUCUUCUCUUCUUUUUCUUCUGGGUUACUUUCUUCUUCGUAUUUCUGUUCUUAUUUCUUUUCUUUAUUUCUUCUUUCUUUCUAAUUUAUUCUCCACGCAUCUUUCUUCUUUCUUUUUUUUUUCCUUGAGGAAGUCAGUUCAUUUCUUCUUUCUUUCUUGUUUUCACCACACAUGUUUCUUCUUUCUUUGUCUUUCUUUUUUGUUUCUUUUGAGGCACUGAGUUCAUUUUUUUUUUUUCAAAGGUAAUGAUGCAGGAAGUUUUAUAUUUAAAAAUCCAUUUACAAGCUUCUCUAUUUAAUUAGUUUGAAAUAUUAUUUCAAUUAUGUUUGCUUUUCUUUCUACUUAGUACUUUGCAUCAUUGCGGUAUUCUAGCGAUGAAAAUGCUUUCUUAUAUUCUUUAACAUAAUAUCUAUUUGAUUGAAGUAUGAUAAUGUUUCUAUAUUUGAUUUUUAAGUAUUUUGGCACCAAAGGUGUGCCUCGCCUACGGGAUGCUUGCGCCUUAACCUUCCCCCUUUUAAAACUAAGCCUCCGGAAACUCCUAGACCCCACUUGACCCACUGCCUCCAGUACCCCCUCUAUCGAAGACUCUUCACUUUAGUUUAUUCAUGAAAUUACCAGUCCCUUCUUGUAAUCUACCACCACGUAACCUCACUCAACCACCGCCGGUAAAACCAUCCUGAGAUCAACAAGACUGCCUCCAAAUUGUCUGCCGAACAAGUCUGGUCGACUUUCACUUGUGUGAUGAACUCCAAGAUCCUUUAAAUCUGACUCUUCCUCUUCAAACAUGAGCUGGUGUCUUUCCUCUUCAAGCUCCUCUUGAAAGUUAAGGGUGGUGUUCUGAAUCUCUUUUGUUUCUUCUACCAGUGUCUCUCCUCCGACAUUUGGUGAAGCCUCUAUUGGCCACACUCGACUCAUCUUCGCCAGCGCCCAUUGUACCUCCACCAUAGCUUGCUUCGCCGCCUUGUAAGAAGAUUUUGUUAAGUUGAUGGACCUCUCUUCCACAUUUAAAACUCCGGUGAAAUGUUCCUUCACCCGAUCCUUCAAUUCAUUCCACUUAUCAAAUGGUUGUUGCCGGUGUUCCUCUCCGAACCACCGUUGCACUUCGCCAUCCAGUGCUAUUAUGGUGGCCUUUAGCUUUACUACCUCAUUUAACUGAAAAAAUCGGAAGAAAUCCUCGAAUUCCAGAAUCCAACUCAUCAUAAUUUCUUCCAUCAAGAAUAUGAAGCUCCCGCUGGAUCGUUGCUCUUCUUUGAGAUAUGAAAUUCCUGAAUCUCGUUGGUGUUUGAUGUAGGCGAAAUCCUCUCUAAUCCACCUUUCCAUUUGUUGUGUUGCACUUUCUUUGGCGACAUUUAUUGCAGAUUUUUUUUAACGAAAAACUCGAAAAUCAGCACUCUAAUCUCCCAUAAUUGUUUUGCUCUGAUACCAUUUGCUAUGAAUUAACAUACCUUGGAUACCAUUUAUGAAGAAAUAGGAUAUUUGAUUCAUCACCUGAAAUUACAGCAAUAUAAAGGAUAGCUACAAGCUUUUGAGUGGCUUGUUCUCUCCCAUUGAAGUCUUAAAAGCUCACCUAAUUUCUUAUCAAUAUUCAACAUAAUUUUUUCUCUCUAGAGUUAACCCUGUAUAUGGAGAAAUUUCCUUAGCACGCCUAUCUAGCUUAUUCCCCAAGCUAGCUAAUGAAGAUAAUAUCUAAAUUACCCUUCCCCCUAAUAUGGAUUCAUAGCAGAAGAUUCCAUUGUGCCUCUCAAACAUGUUUAUUGCAGGUGCCUACCUUGUUCAUCAACAUUGUUACACCCUUGCGGGGAAAUUUGUAGCAAGACUGAGUCUGAAAAUAAUUUUUAUUUAUUUUCUUGGCAAGUAUAAAAUGAUUUAAUUGAUUUAUGAAAACCAAAUACAACACAACAAAAAAUUAAGGAAUUCUCUUUGAAAAAGUAAGUAUCCAAAGAUCCCCCCCCCCCCCCCAACCUUCUAGAAAGGGUUGUGGAUAGGACACUUCAUGUGCUAAGAGAAACCGAAAAAGCUAAGAGAUCAACAUUUGUCUAGCAUCAUCUGAGCACCUACAAGAAAGUUUAAAAAUAAUCUGCCUCAUAGCCUGCUCCACAGACGAGCAAUGCUGCUGAAAAAUCUUCAAGUUUCUACCAAUCCAGAUGCAGUAGAUAGCUUCAAUGAAACAGGAGAUGUGAAGUCUUGCUUGGGUAUAUGAGGACCUCUAGAAAUCUGCAGUAGCUGAAGAAAAUGAAGCCAAAUACUACUAACUGCUGAUGUACGGCAUUUUAAAUCCUUUCAUUACGGUAAGACUCUGGCUAUAUAGAGAACGGAUCUCCAUAGAACAAGAGUUGCAAUUAAACAUAGCUAGAAGUGUGCUGAAGUGGUAUAAUAUUCAUUUUGACCCAAAAGCACCGCAAGUCAGAAUGAAUCGGAGAGAGGGGAGAAGCUAGAAAGUUUCCUUCUUAAAUGAAGUAUAUGCUUUUCUGGUCUCAAUUAAAUCUUCCUUUGCAUCGUGCCCAAAAUUAUGUGAGCUAUUCGAAGUCCCGGAGCUAUUCGAAGUUCCUGCAUCUGGCUGGUAAUUUGAAUUUAUAGAAUUAUUAUCGUUGCUAGUUUCCUCGGGAUUAACAUGGCCAGUUGGAAUAUUCCCCACCUUUCCGACUGCACUUUCACCGUACAAAUAUAAGCGAUUGCUCAUCCAGAAUUAGGAUGUGUAUAUUCAAGAAUAGGAAAUUGCUCAUUCAUUAUGAUGUAAGUGUACAAGGUUGCUCAUUCAAAACUAGGAUGUGUGCUUUCAAGAAUAGGAGAUUGCUCAUUCACCAUUCUGUAAGUGUACAUUUAGAUAUAGGAUGUUACUCAUUUUGAACUAGGAUGUGUACAUGCAAGAAUAGUAGAUUACUCAUUCACCAUUUUGUAAGUGUACAUUAAGAAAUAAGAGAUUGCUCAUUCAGAACUAGAUGUGUACAUUCACGAAUAGGAUUGCUCUCCCUUCAAAAAAAAAAAAAAAAAAAAAAGAA